SYUUUGUUUUAUUGAGAUUAUUAAUUAAAUAAAUUUAAAGUAUUUGGCGGUUGAAAUUUUUAUUAGAGGAACUUGUUAAGUGAUUGAAUUUGCUCAUUGUUGGUGAACUUAGGGUGUUGUUUGUUUAUCUUCGUUAUUAGAGAUUGGCUUGAAGGAGGGUAAUUAGUAUUUCAGAUCAAGAUGUAGUGUCUUUAAGGGUUAAUUAGUUACAAUCUUGAGGAGAUGGAUUUUUGUUAAGAGAAGGUGAGAUGAAAUUGAAUUUAGAUGUAAUUUUUAUUAUUGGGUAGAGGUGAAAAGGGGUUUUA
rnacentral:rRNA from 1 species